rnacentral:lncRNA from 1 species
UUCUAAGGAGCUUAUCAAAAGAUUGGAGGCAUUGUAAUAGCUAUUACUGAAGCAAAGAAUCUCUCUCAACUCAAAUUAGAAGACUUGAUUGGAUCUCUGAAAGCUCAUGAAACAAUUAUUCAAGAAGAUAAACCUACAUAGAAAAAGAUGAUUGCUCUAGAGUCACAAGUGAUGGAACACUCUCAGAACAAUCUGACUACAGAUAAUGACAGUUUACUUCAAGAAGAUGAUGAGGAAGAAUUUGCACUCAUCUCAAAAAGAAUUCAAAGAUUAAUGGUGAGAAAAAAUCAGAUAAGGAAC